UUUACGGCUCUUUGUUCGAUUACGACGUCUGAUCUUCAUCUUCAUCGCCGAAACGCUCCCAUUUACAAAAUCUUCGCAUUAAACCCCUUCUUAAAUCCAUCAACCAUGGUGUAGCCUUGAACUGUUUAUAUGCGAGUAUAAAAAGAUCGUACGCUGCUCCUCCACCGAUUGAGAUGCUGAAGUCGAUGACAAAGAGUGGAACUUGAAUUGAGAUUUGUCGAUUUUCUCAAAUAAUUGCAAAGAAUCACCUUCAGGAAGCGACCACACUACUCUGUCUCCGCAAGGGUAUCCUUGCAGGUUCGUCAUACGGAUAGUCUGUGAGUAGGAGUACUCGAUUUUGAAGAAAUAGAAGUUUCUUCUAUGAACUUCCCAUAUUUCUUAAGCAGCGAAAGACGGCUCAGAAGAUAGUUUUUCAGGCAUUGAGAGAAGCUACGGUCACUGAAACAGUUGUUCGCCAUUUCAGAACGUUAGCCAAACUGAGAAAAUCAACACAAGCUGAUUGUCCGGCUGCGUUCUUUGAGGAGUUCCUGGAAUUGCAAAGACAGAUAUCUCAAACCAUGGAUCUUCUUCAAUAUUUGACGAAAUUCAGCACGACCCUAUUGAUCAGGAGAAACCCGAAUCUAGGAGAAGAAAUACAGCUCCGAAUCAGCAGUAAACCAUGAGCAUAUGAGAUCAAACGCUGAGAACAAGAACCCAUCACUAGCUCCUCCUUCCGUGUUACAAAACACAGCGAAGUUGACUAAAGAGAUAGAGCAAGGAGCUGCAAAUUGGUUCAUAAGGUUUAUGGAAAAGGUUAUGGAGAAGGGGAUGAAGAAGUGUAAAGGCACGGGUGAUGCAGAUGUUAACAAAGAUCCACAGUCUCUGAUUUUCCAGGUUGUAAACUGGGUGGAAGCAGAGCAGUCUGCUGAUAGCACGAGAUGACAUGUACAUCCAAAAACAUCAUAAGUCUUUAGAAAGCUCAUAAUCAAAAUGAAGCAUUUGAAUAUGAUUCUUUUAUAUUGUUCCCAUUUCUACUUCAAAGGCUUCUUAGUUUCCACUUCUUAUCGAUAAAAUUAUUCAUGGAAUCUAUUGUUGUUAAUCAAGUUUAUAAUAGAGUGGCUGUUCUCAGAUCUCCCAAAUAAAAGAUGGUCA